UUAUGUGUAACAGGGUCCCAGUU
rnacentral:piRNA from 1 species